rnacentral:sRNA from 2 species
GUUUGCACUCAUCGGGGAAGGGUGAGAACCUUCGACUAAGGUUCGAUUCGAGCGAAAGCGAAAGAACGUUGCCACAGGCAACGGCCCGAAGGGUGAGGAGCGAAGCGACGAAUAAUCCUUCCCCCACCACCA